UGGGGAAUUUUGGACAAUGGGCGAAAGCCUGAUCCAGCAAUGCCGCGUGUGUGAAGAAGGCCUUCGGGUUGUAAAGCACUUUUGUCCGGAAAGAAAUCCUUGGCUCUAAUACAGUCGGGGGAUGACGGUACCGGAAGAAUAAGCACCGGCUAACUACGUGCCAGCAGCCGCGGUAAUACGUAGGGUGCAAGCGUUAAUCGGAAUUACUGGGCGUAAAGCGUGCGCAGGCGGUUUGCUAAGACCGAUGUGAAAUCCCCGGGCUCAACCUGGGAACUGCAUUGGUGACUGGCAGGCUAGAGUAUGGCAGAGGGGGGUAGAAUUCCACGUGUAGCAGUGAAAUGCGUAGAGAUGUGGAGGAAUACCGAUGGCGAAGGCAGCCCCCUGGGCCAAAUACUGACGCUCAUGCACGAAAAGCGUGGGGAGCAAAACAGGAUUAGAUACCCUGGUAGUCCACGCCCUAAACGAUGUCAACUAGUUGUUGGGGAUUCAUUUCCUUAGUAACGUAGCUAACGCGUGAAGUUGACCGCCUGGGGAGUACGGUCGCAAGAUUAAAACUUAAAUGAAUUGACGGGG
rnacentral:rRNA from 1 species